rnacentral:lncRNA from 1 species
AUGCGCGGCCUGCCGGGGGCGGCCUCUUGCAGUUCCCGCCCUGACGCAGCGCGAGAUUAGAGCUCCUGCUAGUCCCCAGCUGACCCUGGGCCUCAAAGGCAAGCCCUGACCUCAGUCACACGGGGUGGCGGUGAUAUGGUUUGGCUCUGUGUGCUUCACUCUGCCUCACUCGCCUUCCGCCUGCUGGACGCUGCCCUGUUCCCCGCAGGCGGCCGCCGUGGAGGGCAGGCACCGCGCUCCCUGGCUGCUCCCGGGGCCUUCCAAGCACAGCCACGGCCAUGGGGCCGAAACCCAGACCUCGAGGGGCCUGCGGGCAGAGCUCGACAAGCCCAGCUGCUACACUGAAGGGAAAAACCUGAGGAAGCCCCUGACCUUCUUGAAUAACCUGGAUAUUGCAGAAUCAUGCCUGGCACACGGCACUGGCAGAGACGCAGAAGGGAAAGUGUCCAGCGAUGAGAGAUACCGGCCAGGGGGCAAAUCUUCAGCUUGCAGCACUCACUUUGCAGAUCCAGUUGGAAUUAUUUGUGUUGACGCUCUCUGCUCUCUCCGCUCUCCCCUGGAAAUGACGAGGAACUGAGUACAGUGGACAAUGGCUUCCGUGUCCCUAGCUCCCCCCGAGCCAUGAGCUGCUACAUCAAAAGUCUGCAGUGGGCUGCCCUUCCCAUAAUAUUUCAAUUUAAGCACCGACUUGCUGCUGCGGAGUCAUAUCUCAUUCAUGCUGCAGCCUUUGCAGGAGUCAGGGAUCAUUAUGGAGCAAGCACUGAGAAAAAACAGAUUACAGCUUGGCACCGAGCAGCCAGGUUGCACCCCAGAUGCUUCAGGGACAUGGUGCCUGCUCUGGAGAAUGGGGCAGCUUCCACACUGCCCAGGAGCCAGGGCUUCUGACCCAGGAGCGAAAGUCUGUCUCUUCCAUUUCUGGGAGCUGGCAGUAUUUGCACGACUUUCUGGGCCUCAGGCAUCCCAUUGCCCACCAGGAAUUACCUUCCUCCAGGAUCAUGGUGAAGAUGACAUGAGAUGCUAAUGCUUGGCCUGCGGUUGCUAUUUUUAGUUCUCCACUUUCCUGGAAAGCAUGCAGUUGAAGUUCAUGACGGUAUUCUCUCAACGUGUGACUCAAAGACAGAGGCCGUUUCCCAUCCACCGGUUCUCACACUGCCCCAUUCUGCAGCUUCACCAUCCACGCGCUAAGAAGGCAGGCCCCAAAGUCUCAGCACCCAGCCGCUGGGGUCCUCGCUCUUAUGGACAGAAAACUCAAGAAUGAAUAUGUUUCCCCAUCUUGUGCCCUUUUGCCUGGAAACUAUACAGAGCAGGGGUCCCUGCUGGCAUUCCUUCUCUGUACUAGUACGGCUUCGGAAAGUACUGGUUCUCUGAGGAGCGCUCAGUUGCAUCUGGAAGGUGCAGUGUGCACAGCGAUGCCCCUUGACACCAAGGUGUGAGCAUUUGAGCUGUGCUGGAAGGUUCUCCAUGGAAUAGUGCCCACCCUGGAGGGUCCUGUGCCGCGCACUUGAGGAGGCUGUGGUGGUGAGGAGAGACUCUGGAGCAACCCACACUCCCGAUAAGUCAGAUAAGAGUGCCUCCUCUAGGUAAGUUUAUGUUGCAAAUUUAAAGAGAGGAACCAAGAAACAGCAAGGACACUGAGCCAGGACUGAGAGUUUGGGUCUUAGGUGGCUUUGGGUCAUUACGCCCUCUCAAGUGGAUUGCUCUAAGCCCUGUUUAUUUGUUAAUGUGAAUAGUUGGAUGGAAUUGCCUUUGUUCUAAAAUCUUUUAUUCUGCCUAAAGUCUCUGGGUCAGCAAGCACAUGCCACAUGGCUUCUCUCUCUGCAUGGGAAUGCACACCUGAGUAGGGAGGCUGGCCAGCCCGUGCUGCCCUGGUGGGGUGAGUGUUAGCUGGCUAGGGUUGCUGGAACAGAGGGGAUUCAACCACAGGAAUUUAUUCUCUCACACCAUGGAGGCCCAAAGCCCCAGAUCAUGGUGCUGUAGGGCCAGGCUCCCUCUGAGGGCACUAGGGAGGACCUGUGCCCAUCCUCUCCAGCUCCUGGUGGUUCCUUGGCUCGUGGCAGCACAGCUUGUACCUUCACGUGGCACUCUCCCUUUAUGUGUGUGGAUGUGUCCAAUUUUCCUUUUCUGUUGGGGCCCCAGCCGUAGUGGCUUAGAGGCUCACCUACUCUAACAGGACCUCGUCUGAACUCAUGACAUCUGCAAGACUGUGUAUCCAAAUAAGAGCACAUUCUGAGAUGCUGGGGGUUAGGACUUAAGCACAGAAGAUUUGUGGGGAGGUACACAGUUCAAUCCAUCUGGAAGGUGGAUAGCCAUGGCAGGGUGGAAAGACGUGUGUGGGUAUAGGCCGGAGGUGGCCUCACUGGAGAAACCUGUGCACGGCCCCACAAGGCAGCAGCUGAGCGUGGAAGGGGCUGGAGCUGCCCCGUGGUAGGGAAGGGGCCGUGUGGCCAGCAGCAGCAUCUGCCUUUGUCAUCACUGGGUGGGACCACGAGGGCAAUGCUACUCUUCCCCUCACACCUUCUACAGGCAAGUUGGCCAGGUGUCAAUGCAGCCAGGUGACACGGCCGCCUGGAGGGCAGGAGCAGACAGCCCCAUGGAGGCUCUAGGAGAUAGACAGGGAGGCCGCAGCUGUCCAGGAGCUGAAGUGAGCAGCAGAGGGCGCCGGGGGAGAUGCGCCCUAGCACCAGGCUCUGAGUGCCCCAGCGAGCUUCCUUGCCUUGACUUUCCUCACUGGGAACCCGGGCCUGGAGUCCAUAUGAAGCCUCAGCCCAGGGGAGGGUCUACCUGUCCAGGAGGCUCCCACCAUCCAGCUCGCCCUGGAUGGUGCCCUCAGAGGUGCCUGGGCAUGGGGUCACCUCGGAGAGUCUGGAGGGGCCUCCGGACAGUGCGGCCACGGGCUGUCCUCUGCUUCUCAGUGCCCAAGACAGGGAACCAGAGCACAGCACUGAACACGUUUUAGUGCUCUUUUAGUUCAUGUGCUGCUUGCUGAAUUUCCCUGAAUUCAGAGAAGAGCCUGACGCAGAGGAAGCAUCUGAGAUCUUCUGUAUGUUUUCUCGUCUGUGCAAAGUGUUUUCAACUCUUUCAAAGGUCGGCAUUCACUGAAUUUCAGCUCCCCUUGGCUUGAUCUCUCAUACAAAGGUUCUCAAAUUCCCUGAAAAUAUGCAAUGAUUUUCUCACUCAAUAAACGACUUUUCUGUCACCAAAAAAAAAAAAAAAA